GACGAACGCUGGCGGCGUGCCUAACACAUGCAAGUCGAGCGAGGAACUUCGGUUCCUAGCGGCGGACGGGUGAGUAACACGUGGGUAACCUGGCUCAUAGAGGGGGAUAGCCUUCCGAAAGGGAGAUUAAUACCGCAUAAGAAGCGAAAGUCGCAUGACUUUAGCUUUAAAGGAGCAAUCCGCUAUGAGAUGGGCCCGCGGCGCAUUAGCUAGUUGGUGAGGUAAAGGCUCACCAAGGCGACGAUGCGUAGCCGACCUGAGAGGGUGAUCGGCCACAUUGGAACUGAGACACGGUCCAGACUCCUACGGGAGGCAGCAGUGGGGAAUAUUGCACAAUGGGCGAAAGCCUGAUGCAGCAACGCCGCGUGAGUGAUGAAGGCCUUCGGGUUGUAAAGCUCUGUCUUUGGGGACGAUAAUGACGGUACCCAAGGAGGAAGCCACGGCUAACUACGUGCCAGCCGCCGCAGUAAGAC
rnacentral:rRNA from 1 species